rnacentral:lncRNA from 1 species
GAGGGAGCUGGACUUUUCUAGUCAGUCAAUUACAAUGCGGUUGCGGCUAAUAAGUGGCGAAUACAACCCAGCCUGGACAUCUCUGUUGUCAAAGUGUGUUGCAUACCAGGGAUAGAUGAAGCUUUGCAAAUCGGUUGUGUCAGAUCUCAGGGUGCAAGGAAAACUGCUCUUACAAUAUUCCGCAAAUAACAGAACGCCUACCUUACGAGACGUAGGUUGGCCAGCCUUGCAUGGGAAAGAUGCCCAUCUGGUUCCAAACUUGCGCGUAAGUUAAAUCUGCACGUUCUUCACACUAAUCUAAAGCUUCAACGCAAUGCCAUAUACUGUGACAAUGAAGCUAAGCGCAGUAAACAGUAGGACAGAUGUUGCUAAGUCAAUUCGCAACCACCGGCGAAUUGCCUCUAAAAGAACUGUCGGGCUGCACGACCUCUAUCUCUGUCAUGUUUUUAAAACGUAGAGAGAAGCUCAAUGUUUGACUUUAGUAUGAAAACAGGGGCACAAGAACAAGAGGAGUCUUUCCCGGGACAUUCAAAACCAGUCGACAAACCUUUUCGAGUUUGCAAUUCAAAAACAAUCAGGAUGAAUCACUUAUUGCAGUUUUACUCCAAAAAUGAGCUAAGAAACCAUACUUGGC